rnacentral:tRNA from 1 species
GACGAGGUGGCCGAGUGGUUAAGGCGAUGGACUUCCAAUCAUUGUGCCUGCACGCGUGGGUUCGAAACCCAUCCUCGUCG